rnacentral:rRNA from 2 species
GGACUACACGGGUAUCUAAUCCUGUUUGAUCCCCGCACUUUCGUGCCUGAGCGUCAGUUACUCCUUAGUAAGCUGCCUUCGCUAUCGGUGUUCUUGACGAUAUCUAAGCAUUUCACCGCUACACCGUCAAUUCCGCCUACCUCAUCAGUACUCAAGCCCCGCAGUAUCAACGGCACCUCGACAGUUGAGCUGCCGUAUUUCACCGCUGACUUACAGGGCCGCCUACGCACCCUUUAAACCCAAUAAAUCCGGACAACGCUUGCCACCUACGUAUUACCGCGGCUGCUGGCAC